GAUGAACGCUGGCGGCGUGCCUAACACAUGCAAGUCGAACGAACGGACGAGGCGCUUGUUGCGUUGAUGUUUGCGGCGGGCGGGUGUGUAACACGUGGAUAACCUACUUGUAUGACUGGGAUAACCUCGGGAAACCGGAGAUAAUACCGGAUAAUAUUCUGCACCGUAUGGGGCAAAAGAGAGAGACGGCGUUGCUGGCACGUAUCGAUGGAUCCGGGCUGCAUUAGAUGGUGGGUAGGGUAACGGGUUACCAAGGCGACGAUGCAUAACCGAGGGGAGAGGGGGGUAGGCCACAUGGGAACGGAGACACGGUCCAGACUCCUGAGGGAGGCAGCAGUAGGGAACCGUCGGCAAUGGGCGAAAGCCUGACGGAGCAAGGGCGCGUGAGAGAUGAAGGUCCUGGGAGCGGAAAACUCUGUUAUUGGGGAAGAACAUAUGUGUAAGUAGAUGUACAGAGCUUGACGGUACCUAAUCAGGAAGCAACGGCUAACUACGUG
rnacentral:rRNA from 1 species